CCAUUGCAUUGCCUGAACCCCUCCCCUUUCCCUCCCCCGCCCUGUUCUUCUUCUUCUCCGACGACAAGGUGCGGCAACACCAGCCGGCAAGAGAUCUCUAGCUCCAGUUCGGCCUCCCACCCAUCAUGGCUGCAGUAUGGUCCAGUCCCGCUGACAAGAUGCCCUGACUGCCUGCGCAAGGAGCCUCUGAAGUGGCUGAUCUGUGUGAAGGAAGACCAUGGUAACCGUGGGCACGAGUUCGUCAAGUGCGAGAGCAGGCCACAGCUGGGGCAGGUCCUAAAGAAAUGCGGGCAUUUUGAGUGGCUCGAUGCGUACAUUGAGAGGCUAAAAUUUGGUGGAUUAAUUGGCGGAAACUAGGAACUCAAUCCGGGGCCGCUUGUUGUGGAGCCAGUGGAGAAUUUGGCGGACAGAGGCGUUCUGAUGAUGGGCAAUGCUGAACUGAAGGGGGAAUUGAAGAAAAUAAGUAAGCAACUGAAGCAAAUGAUCGAUUUGAAGCAGCAAGCAAAUAUGAUGGCUGUAGGAUUUUAUCGAUGUAUCAUUGCUAUGGGUUUAUUUUACUUGUUGUACAUCAAUCGUUAGAAAUUGUUUGAGUUUCAGUUAAUGUGUUGUUUGAGUUUUAGUUAAUGUGUUUAGUUAGUAGUGAACUUUUUCAGUUACAGUUUGGGCAUCAUGCCUGGAUCAUUUGCAUCCCCUGAUGAAUAAAAUGCAGCAAAUCAUCCAAGUA